rnacentral:rRNA from 1 species
AUUGAACGCUGGCGGCAGGCUUAACACAUGCAAGUCGAGCGGGGGGAGGUAGCUUGCUACCUAACCUAGCGGCGGACGGGUGAGUAAUGCUUAGGAAUCUGCCUAUUAGUGGGGGACAACAUUUCGAAAGGGAUGCUAAUACCGCAUACGCCCUAAGGGGGAAAGCAGGGGAGCUUCGGACCUUACGCUAAUAGAUUAGCGCAAGUCGGAUUAGCUAGUUGGUGGGGUAAAGGCCUACCAAGGCGACGAUCUGUAGCGGGUCUGAGAGGAUGAUCCGCCACACUGGGACUGAGCCACGGCCCAGACUCCUACGGGAGGCAGCAGUGGGGAAUAUUGGACAAUGGGCGGAAGCCUGAUCCAGCCAUGCCGCGUGUGUGAAGAAGGCCUUUUGGUUGUAAAGCACUUUAAGCGAGGAGGAGGCUCUUAAGGUUAAUACCCUUGAUGAGUGGACGUUACUCGCAGAAUAAGCACCAGCUAACUCUGUGCCAGCCGCCGCGGUAACAC